rnacentral:rRNA from 1 species
CACGUAGGGUGCGAGCGUUGUCCGGAAUUAUUGGGCGUAAAGAGCUCGUAGGCGGUUUGUCGCGUCGACUGUGAAAACCUACAGCUUAACUGUGGGCUUGCAGUCGAUACGGGCAGACUUGAGUUCGGUAGGGGAGACUGGAAUUCCUGGUGUAGCGGUGAAAUGCGCAGAUAUCAGGAGGAACACCGGUGGCGAAGGCGGGUCUCUGGGCCGAUACUGACGCUGAGGAGCGAAAGCGUGGGGAGCGAACAGG